ensembl:lncRNA
CCACCCCAUCCCCAACCUUACUCUCACAUUACUUGCUCUAUUCAUUUUCUAUUGCUAUAUAACUAGUCACCACAAUGUAGAGGCUUAAAACAAUAUCAUAUGGUUAUUAUCUCAUGACUCUGUAGGUCAGAAAUCCAAGCAGGCUUGUCUGGGUUUUCUGUUUAAGGUCAGUAGGGGCAUAGAAUUCUGCCUCCCACACCUGCCUUCCUGCCAGCAGUGUCACAUCCACAAAAAUGAGAUUCAGAAGGAGGGGGUGUCUACACUAAAGCUGGGGGACAGAAGGUGGCAAAAGGGGAGCCUGUUGAGAUAAAGAGACAGAGUUGUGCCUGCAACGUCCAUGACCAACACUAAGAAACUGCUCCCAAAGGUCCAUGGACAUGAGAAAGACUCAAGGAGAUAGUUAUAAUCAGGAAGAAAGACAAUGGCGAAACAAAUACGGACCCAAACUCUGCAGUCACUGGGCUGGGCUCACUAGAUAAGGGAUAUCCUCUGAGGCUGGGGCCAGGAUGGAGAAUCACUGUGCUGAUUAAAUUGCCGUGGACAAAACAAAAUUACUUCAUUGGAAUCAAACCAAAACCUAGCCAUGACUAAAUCCUCAGAACAGUGAGGAUCUGGAGGGGUAGAUAUGUUAUUAAAGCUAUGCGAUGCAAGGAAAACUAGAGAGAAAAAAGGAAACAAGGAAGCAAGAGACACAUGGGAAAAGGGAGGAGGAGGAAAUGGUGGACUGGCUAUCUACAGAUGCUCUAACAACAUGGCAGCCUGCUUCUUCAAAGCUAACAGAAGAAUCUCUCACUCCUGACGCCGAAGAUUAUGAGUUUUAAAUACUGUAAGAUAGCUAUCUCCUUCCAUUCCAAGUCCAGAGAACGGAUGAAUUCUUCCACAAAUGGCCUGCCUUCUCCCAAAGCACCUGCCUUUUAAAAGUGGAUACAGCAGGGGAGGAAAACCUUAAUGCAAAGAAAGGAAUGAGAGGGUGAUUGUGAAAUACUACGCUGAGAGGUAAGUAAUGGAGUGGGAAGGAGAGAAAGGUAGUAGACUUUUGGUCUCUCUAAAAUACCAUAAUAACUAAUCGUGCUGCCAAGGGAGACACAUAUUUUUGCUCACUGAACCUUCUUAGAUACAGGUGCUCCAGAGAAAGUGUUAGCUUGGGACGCAAGAAGAAUUGUUCUGUGUAACAGAAUUGGCAAAGUAGUGGCAAAUUUACUAGUGAGUUAUGACAGCUCUUAGGCAAACUCUGAGAGAAAGAAUGCUAUUGCCCAAGAAAGUUGGUUUUAUUCUUUCAUCAAUUAAGUUCUUUCAUUGGAAUACAGACACCAUGGGGCUGAAGGGAUACUAGACAUUCUCUCCAUUGUUCUAUUUUUGAAUUUUACUAAUUUGAUCAUAGAGAUACUCUGAAGAUGAUGACUGUGCUGGGCAGAACAUGGUCCUCCAAGAUAUCCAUCUAUUAAUCCCCAGAACCUGCAAAAGGUACUUUGCAGACAUGUUGAAAUUAAGGAUUCUGAGAUGGGAGAUUAUCCUGGAUCACCUAUGUUAGGUCCAAUGUAGUCACAAGGGUGUUAUAAGGGAAAAGGGAGGCAGGAGGGUCACAGCCAGAGAAGGAAGGAGAUGACAAUGAAACGAUGCAUUUGCUGACUGCCAGAUGCUGAAGAGUCUAGAAGCCAAAAAUGGCAAGGAAAGAGAUUCUCUUUUAGAGCCUCCAGGAUGAAGACAACUCUGCUGACCCCUUUAUUUUAUUUUAUUUUAUUUUUUUGCUUUUUUAGGGCCACAGCCAUGGCAUAGAGAGGUUCCCAGGCUAGGGGUCGAAUUGAAGCUAUAGCUGCUGGCCUACACCACA